UUGACAGCCUCUUUCCUUCGUCAUCGGUCUCAUGCGAAAAUUCCAUUUUUCUCUUCCUCCUCCAAGCUUGAUCUCUCCAUCUUCUCUGGCGAUUCUCGGUCGAUUCUUCGAUUUCUCCAUCAUCUCUGUCGAUUCUCUGUGAAAUUUUUCUUAUAUAAUAGUUUUUGUUCGUUUGAUUCGAGAGUGUUCGAUUUAUUCGUUUGAUUCGUUUCAUUCCUUUGUAGAGGAUCUUGAACGUUCGUUUGAUUCAAUCAUAACUCUUCUCCCCUCUCCCUUCCAUGGUGGGUCACUUCAAAAAGGGAAAGCUUUUAUGUUUAUUUGAUUUGAGUCACUUCGAUCUACCAUCCACUUCAGGUGGUGGCAGUUGCUGGACUCAUCACAAAGAUCGUCUCUCCUGCAUCUGCUUUGCUCUCCUUGUGCAAUGCUUUGUGGUUGUUGCAGUGGAAGAGGUGAAUCUUCUGAGCAGCAGAUGAGUGAGGAUGAGAUGUUUUAUUGCAGUCUUUGUGAAGUUGAGGUCUUCAAAUACAACAAACAUUGCAAAGUUUGUGGCAAAUGUGUGGACAGUUUUGAUCAUCACUGCAGGGUAUUAAAUAGAUUUGUCUGAUUUGUUUCAAUCCAUUCAUUCUAUUUUAAAUUUCUUAUCUUCUUUUGCUUAUGGAAUUGUGUUGUGUAGUGGAUAAACAACUAAUCGGUUCUUA